rnacentral:lncRNA from 10 species
CAGGCUGUUCCCUUAGGCAUGAUGCUCAGAAAACCAAACUCGAAUGGAAACUCAAGCAAUGUAAAAUCUCUAUUUAGCAUACACAACUGUGUCCAUGGUGAAACAUUCUCCACUUACACUGUAAUAAUAAAAAGACUGGUACCCUAAAAGAAUAAAUAAGUCUCCAAGCUAGAAUUUUCAAUUUUUCAUAUUUUUAUUCAUGUGCAUUUAUUUUAAAACAGAAAAUUUUAUUUUGACCACCAUCAUCAUUUUUCUGUUCCAGACAUUGGAUUCCCUGCUGGUUUCCCCACCUGAUUAUUGAAAUUGAUUUCUGGAGUUCAGGAAAAAGCAAGUCAUCAUAUAUCAACCUAUUAUGUGUGUUAGGCUGUUUGCAUUAUCACAUUUAAUCCAUUUGACGCUGUGAAGGAGCAGGUAGUGUUAUCUGACUCAAGUCUGUCCUUCAAUUAAUCUCACCACCUCCAGGAUUCCUUUAUGCUCUUUGUCAAGAACUCUGGUAGAGCAAAGAAAAUGGGGAUAGUUUGUCACGUUCAAAAAUCGUAUUGACCAAGACUAUCCUCUCUCUCUCUCUCUUUUUUUUGAGACAGAGUCUCACUCUGUCACCAGGCUGGAGUGCAGUGGUGUAAUCUCAGCUCACUGCAACCUCCGCCUCCUGGGUUCAAGUGAUUCUCCUGCCUCAGCCUUCCGAGUAGCUGGGACUACAGGUGCAUGCCACCAUGCCCAGCUAAUUUUUGUAUUUUUAGUAGAAUCAGGGUUUCACCAUGUUGGCCAGGAUGGUCUCGAUCUCCUGACCUCGUGAUCUGCCCGCCUUGGCCUCCCAAAGUGCUGGGACUACAGGCAUGAGCCACUGUGCCUGGCUGAUAAUCCUCUUUUAAGAAGAAGGGGUAUAUAUUUACCUAGGGAAUUCCCUAGAGGAGAAGAGGCAGAAAGGCAUAAAAGGAGUAUAGUAAACUGAAAUCAAGACAUCUAAAUCUAAGACCUGGCUCCAUUACUGUACCCCUUUGGAACUUUGGGUAAAUUCUUAAUUCUUUCUGGGUCUCAAUUUUCUCUUUUAAUAAAACAAAGAUUUGGAGUAAUAAAACUCUAAAUUCCUUUCCAGCCCUAGGACCUUAUGGUCUACAGUGAGACUUCUUAUAUGAUUCUAGUUAGGGUAAAACAAUUCAGGAUUAAUAAUAGUUAUGUUAAGUACCCUAGGUUUUUAAGAGCUCAGUUUUGAUUAUGUAUAAUAAUGAGUUUGACAAAAAAAAAAAGUUGAGUAAAGAUGGAUGGCUGAAACCCUCAUUUAGCCUCUCUCUAGGCAGGGGAAUGAAUAGUUUGCAAGGGAAAGUUUAUUUUCUGGCAUUGUGCCAGAAGAAAACAGGAUAGGCCUAAUAAUAGUCUAAAAGAUGCAAGCACUUUGAGAUUCUUGCUUCCAUACCAUAGUCAGAUUCUCAGGGUCUCAGUAGACAUAGCCUUGGAGUUGGGCAGGGAGUCUUAAAGCAGCGAUCAUCACCUAGGUUUAAGCUGAGAUUCUUACUUUACAACGUGCCUUCUGCCCAAUGACUAAUGAAUGACACAGACAGUUAUGGGUACUGGGAGGUGGGAAUAAUCACUUAAGGGUGGCAGUGUUGGAGAAAAGUAUAAGGAGGUGACUGGGAGACUGGACCUUCUUUGAAGGUUGGGUAUGAUCUAGAGAAAUAGAGAAUAGUUGGGGUCUAAGAGCACAGAAAGAGAUGGAAUAUAUAGUAUAGCUGAGGAAAAAUAAAUGGGGCAGCUUAACACAAGCAACUCUGACAUAGAAGUCUUCUGAAUCAAAAGCAGAAUUUUGAGGCACUCAAGAAAGAGGGGUAUUAACUAUAUCGGUUAUAAACUUUUUAAAAAAGUGAUUUUACAGAGACUAAUCUGGAGCGGGUAGUUUUGAUAUCUUCAUAAGGAUGACCUUGCCUUGACUCAUUCUUUUAAACAUUUUUUUUUAUUUUUUAUUUUUUUGAGACAGAGUCUCGCUCUUUCGCCCAGGCUGGACUGCAGUGGCGCUAUCUCGGCUCACUGCAAGCUCCGCCUCCCGGGUUCACGCCAUUCUCCUGCCUCAGCCUCCUGAGUAGCUGGGACUACAGGCGCCUGCUACCACGCCUGGCUAAUUUUUUUUGCAUUUUUAGUAGAGACGGGGUUUCACCGUGUUAGCCAGGAUGGUCUCGAUCUCCUGACCUCGUGAUCCGCCCGCCUCAGCCUCCCAAAGUGCUGGGAUUACAGGCGUGAGCCACCGCGUCCGGCCGCCUUGACUCAUUCUUUAGCAUUAUUGUCCUUAUAGAAAGUAAUGCUAUUAAAAAUUUCAUGUGUACAUUGAGUCUUGAAUUUCUUUUGGCACCUGCUGUCUCCAUUGAUUCAACGCAAGGAAGCUGUGUUCUCUUCCUUGAGCUUUAUGAGUUUAAAGUACAGCCCAUCCUAUUGAGUGAGUUCUAUGGGGCCAUUGUCAAAUCUAAAAGUGCUUUACAAUGCUCCUGAGUAGAUGGCAUCCCACUGGGGUCAUAUCGUUCACUAAUUGAAGGUAACGUUCUUGGAUGAUAGCAAAAACCGUAUAUAGCUCUAAUAGCUGCUCUACAGAUAAGCCCAAGUGCUAUACCAAGCCAACCCCAAUCUGUUUAUAUAAACCAACUAUAAAAUAAUUUGCAUGCAAAAUAUUAUUUUACAAACUCCAAUAUCACAGGAGUAAACUAUCUAUUGAAAAGGCUGUAAAUAUUUGCAUAAAUGUUGCAUAAACAUGAUGGGCUUUAGUUUGGAGUCUUUGUUAACAUAAACAUUUUUAGAAUUAUCUUAACCUAAUUUAUUUUAGCUCUAGACCAAUUAAUAUUUAUUCAUAACCUAUGUCUUUGGUAACUUGCCUAACUAAAAAGAGCCUCUGACAUUUCUUUCCCCUGGUAUAAUUAAAAAUUAAAAUUUGUCAUCGGUAACUUAUAGAAAACUUUUUUCACGCUUAUUUUUAUCUUUUAUAAAUUAGUAUCUUGGAGCUCAAAAUUGCUCUUUGGAGUAAAAACUCUCUGUCUAGUUAUUUAAAGAAUCUAUAAAAUCCUUCCUUCCUUCCUUCCUCUUCCUUCCCUUCUUCCUUCCUUCCUUCCUUCCUUCUAGCAACUACAACAUCAUUUAGCAUGUAUAUACAUUUUAGUAAGCAAAGCAUGGGGAAUCAGAGGCAAAUUAUCCCCAAAUCUCUGCCUUCUAGGAAUACAAAGCCUAAGAGAACUAGAUCUAAAUAAAAACUGUAGGCUACAUGUAGAUUGAGUUGUCCUGCUUAUUGAGAUUAAAAUGAGAUUUAUUUCAACCCUAACCUGUAAGCUGUAGUAGCCUUGAAUCCCUCCCAAUCUUUCCAAAAGUACUUUUGAGAGGGAGGAUGGAGGGAGGGAAUAAGUGGUGAUUGGUAUGAUAUUUACAUGCCCCUUAACAUUUCUUGCUGCAUAUGCUGUUCCUCAAAUGCUGUUUCUGCACCAUAUUGUCCAAGAUGUGAAACACAGUCUCUUUACCCCUGAGAACUUCACUCACACAAGACAUUUGCUUGUGUGGUAGACUUUGCUGAAAGCUUGAGAUGAUGGAGGGGUUUCACACAGCCCAUUAUUUGCCCCCUCCCUUGAUACACAUCCUUUUCUACAUUGUCCACGUCUCCACCCUAUUAACACAGAAGAGAGAAGCUGAAGAGGAUUUUGGAAAGUAAGGGAUGAGACAAAGCAUGAAAGAUGACCAGGUGCUACCCAAGUUGUGGGACACUUUGCUGAAGAGAGGGAUCCCUGUCCUCGUGUGAUAGGCAGAACCUUCAUCUUUCUUCUUCGUGCUCUCCUGUCCAUGGACUCUUCGGUGUCUGCUUAGCAUGAGCCACCAACUCCCAUCUCACAUUUCAGUGGCACUGAAGAAUUGCAGAAACUUUGAAAUUUUCUUUCUCUUCUUUCGCUUCUCUGGCAUAAAGGAAAGUAAGCACUAUACAGAUUAAUUGAUAUUGAAUUAGGCCAUUUCUUUUAGAAGAAAAGAGUGACUGUUUUAAAUGUUAUUUCUUCUCCCUUUACAAUUGCAACACAUUUCUAUCUAGUCCCAUCCUACAGCCAAGUGUUAAUAUGUUCUCAUUCAGUGGAUGAUGGAUUCUUUACUUUUCAUCUUAAAAUUAAAUAGCUAUGUUCUAUACCAGAGAAGUGUUCACUGGCUACUAGAUAAUUCACUCCCAAAUGAAAAAUAAAUGACAUUAAAUACAUAAUUCUGUCACUACUAGAGCACUGUAUUAUUUUGUUGUCAUAGUCAAUAGAUACUUGUUCACCUUUUGGCAGCAGUGAAGGUAAUUUUAAACUAUAGAAAGGAAAAAGUUCCAGUUAUACAGGAAUUAAUAUUCUAAAAGAAAUGUGUUUUCUGAAUUUAAUCUUUUAGAUCAAAAUGAUAGAAUUGUAAAGUCAAAAGGAGAAAAAUUGAGGAUUGGCUGGUUUGUAUUAUCAUCAGUUCUCAAAUGUUUAUAAGGGCCAUCUAAGAGUGAAACGACAAUGGAAACACAUGAGAAAACCAGGGGAAGCAGAGGUAAGAACCUGUUCAAGAAGGCACAUCUCAGAUGUGGAAGAACCAUGAUUCAACUCGAGUCUGUCUGCUUCCCAAGACUGUGGUAUUUAAACAGCUUAUAAUGAAAAUUCCUUCUAUAGCUCCCCAUAAAAGGGCACACAGUUCUUUCUUAACGUAUUAUUUCAGGCAUUCAUUCACCAUUGAUGUAUUUGUGAAGGUGUUCUCUCUAAAUAAACUAUUGGGACCUUACUUGACUGUGA